rnacentral:tRNA from 1 species
GGAUACGUGCCUGAAAUUAAAGGAUCACCUUGAUAGGGUGAAUCAUAGAGGCUAGACCCUCUCGUCUCCU